UUCAGAUUUUUGUCAUUUUUCAUGCUGCUGUUUUGAUACAUCUGGCCAGUUCAUCCAUCCCCUGUCUAUAGCUGAGCUAUUCUGCCCUAAUCAAAGAUACUGGAUGGCACCUCUAUACAUGAGCCCUGCAGCUUCAUAAAACCUGAUGAAGGAGAGAGGAACAUUCCAAGAGAAAACAAGAAAAGGUCAUGAUUUAUUGCUAAUAAACAGCUCCUUGGAUCUUAUUAUCUUUGCUGUGUAGAAGCCUGGAGAUCUAGAUUGGGCUUUAUAAUUCACAUUGAAAUUCAAUGUAUCACAUGUCUCUUGUAAAGCCACAUCUUUGAAUGAUACUCAAACCCUAUUAAACAGGUACUCAUUAAACCACAA